AGCCAGUAGCUUACCUCCUUAAUCAAAUGAUCUAGGUUAACAUUGCCAGUAAAUAAAAUGUAUCACCCCAAUGUGCUUUUGAUAAGACACAGUGAGACAAAUGGACAUAACAUUAUUCCUGGAGUAUUCUUACCAAAAUUGUACAGUCUCAAUCUAAUGAGAAAACAUCAAAUAAAGUCAAAUUGAAAGACAUCCUACAAAAUAACGCACAUAUUCAUCCAAAAUAUCAAGGUAUGAAACAAGAAAAAACUGAGGAGCUUUCACAGACUCACAGGCUGGAGAGUAUGGAAACAUAACAAGUAAAUGUAGUGUGGAAUUUUAGAUUAGACUCUGAUAUGAAAAAAGGAUAUUAGGAAGAAAAAAUGUUGAAAUUUGAAUGUUUUCUGCAGCAUAGUUAAUAAUAUUGUACCAAUAUUAAUAAUAAUUAUUCUGUGAUUAAAAUUUUAACAUUAGAGGAAGCUAAUGUAAGGGUAUAUAUAAAAUCUGUCAUUUUUUCACAAUUAUUUUAUAAGUCUGAAGUUAUUUAAAAAAAGAAAAGAAAGAGAGUGUAUUAAAUUGUGGAAUAUUUAAUCCAAAGCAAAUUAUUAAUUCAAUAACAUAUAUUGUGGUAUUAUGCUUUCUAGAAUAACCCUGAACAAGUUAAAUUUUCUCCCUUGGAUUCUUCCAGAUUGAGACCUGAUAUGCCCCAAUUUUCAUUCAGCCACAUAUUUGUUGACUCAAAUACAAAUACUCCUUUGUAAUGGCAAAUACAUCUUUAACUAAAGUAUGAUUUCUGUUACUAUAAUCAUUUUGUAUCAUUAUCAAAGCAAGCUACACAGAUCAAACAAGGGGUUUACAUGCUGAGGUGUCCAUUUAGCUCUUUCCAGAUAGAUUUCAUUUUGGCAAAGAGAAUAUAGUACCUAAACCUUAUAAUUACUUUUAUUGUAAGCACAUGAUAUAUAUGUCAGAAGGUUCUCUCUGAAACUUCUUGUGUUUCAGCCUUAACGGAGCCUGUUAAUACACAUUGAAAGUGAAAAUUUCCUCCUUAAAAAAAUACCAUAGAGACUUUGCACUGAAGAAUAUCUGAACCCUAAUAAUCAUAGACUUUAAAUAUUACUCUUCAGGGAAGAGCACUGCUUGGAGGACUGUAAUGAGAAAUCUUAAGACUUGUGAAAUGAUCUGAACUCCAAAUAAACUGGGAUCUGCUCGCCUUUUCUUUAAUAGCAAAUAUUUAGUUUUUUAUUACAUUUUUUCUCUAUACAUGCUCAGCACCAAGACACUUAGAUAAUUUAGGUUACUCAGUAGGAUCCAAACCUCCAAAGUAACAUAGACAGUAUCUGAUUUACAGCUCUUGAUCAUUACUGUCUGGUAAUUUCACCACUUCUUAAUUUACCCAUAUCACAAGUUGAAGACCACAACAUUUCGACUUGGUCAUUGUGAUAAUCUGUGUAUGUUUCCUUUCAGAGUUCAUGGUACUACCACAUUUCCAUUCAUCUAGAUUUAGUGAUAAAGAAAUAUAUGUCCCUUUUCAGCUAAUAUUGUCAAUCAACAUAUCCAGCCAAUUUUAACAUAAAAACAUUUUAAGAUUUGACACUUUCAAUCUACUCACUUUUUAUUCUCUCAGAUACUUAUUAUACAUACAUUUGUUGAUCUAAAACCAGAGCUUUUUCUAAAGUGGAUUAUAACCCCUGUCCCAUUCAUUCUUUCUAAUGCCUUUUAUUUUUUAUCAUCUAAAACCUAGAUCUAUUCUAUAUCACAACUAUUCUUCAAAAAAAUGGAGAUAAUUCACAUUACAAAAAAAUAGGAUAAUUUUUUCACAGAUGAAUUUUGGGUGUGUGACCUAAGCAUAGUCUAACCGCAAAAGUUAUCAUCUGAUAUACCUCUUAUGCUACACCAUAAUCUCUAGCCAUGCUGAACUUCAUUUAUCUGCUACUGUCCUUGUGCAUAUACUCAUGAUCCUUUUAGGAUCACAUCCUCCUGUUACAUCAAAGCCAAUUUUUUUUUAAGGUUUAUUUAAUUGAGAGAGAGAGGGAGACAGCACAGGCAGAACAGAGUGAGGGGGAGAAGGAGAGGGAGAGAAUCCCAAGCAGACUCCUUGCUGAGUGCAGAGCCCCAUGUGAGGCUCUAUCACACAACCCUGAGAUCAUGAUCUGAGCCAAAAUCAAGAGUGAGAGGCUUAACCUACUGAGCCACCCAGGCAUCUCCAAAGCCAACUUUUUUUUUUUCAAAGCCAACUUUUAAUACUCAGAUUAAAUGUCUUCCAGAUUCAAAUUUGUUUUAUGAUAAGGGAGUACGUUGUACAACAUUAUAGAAUAAGCCCAGUUUACCUUUAUUGGAAUUUUGUAUGCACUGGUGGUCCCAUAUG
rnacentral:lncRNA from 1 species